UGGGGAAUAUUGGACAAUGGGCGAAAGCCUGAUCCAGCCAUGCCGCGUGUGUGAAGAAGGUCUUCGGAUUGUAAAGCACUUUAAGUUGGGAGGAAGGGCAGUAAGCGAAUACCUUGCUGUUUUGACGUUACCGACAGAAUAAGCACCGGCUAACUCUGUGCCAGCAGCCGCGGUAAUACAGAGGGUGCGAGCGUUAAUCGGAUUUACUGGGCGUAAAGCGUGCGUAGGCGGCUAAUUGAGUCGGAUGUGAAAUCCCCGAGCUUAACUUGGGAAUUGCAUUCGCUACUGGUUAGCUAGAGUGUGGGAGAGGAUGGUAGAAUUCCAGGUGUAGCGGUGAAAUGCGUAGAGAUCUGGAGGAAUACCGAUGGCGAAGGCAGCCAUCUGGCCUAACACUGACGCUGAGGUACGAAAGCAUGGGGAGCAAACAGG
rnacentral:rRNA from 1 species